UUUCAAUUUUUGUAUCUAUUAUUUUGGGCUUCACUGCUAUUAAGGUUGGGCUAUCUGCUUUCGACCCAAAUGCAUCUCUUGAAGUAUUGGACCAUAUAAUUCUAAAUCUUAUCUAUUACAUGCUAGUCGAGAUUCUUCCUUCAGCACUAGUGCUGUACAUCUUGCGCACGCUGCCUCCCAAAAUAGUAUCAGCUCAAUGACUUGGGAUGUAUUGGAUGGAGUGAUUGAGGUCAAUGAGUAUAUUAAUCAAUGUUUUUAGACUUGGACCAGACCGAUCGGUUCAAUCGGGAACCUGACCGAUAUUCAGUCCGAUCACAACAUAAUAACAGGAUGUAUAAAAAUCGGUAUGAAACCCAAAAAACUGUCCAGUCCAUACGACACAGUUUUUUCGGGUUUAACAAAAUAUUUAAAAAAAAAUUUAAUAGUAUGAAAAAGAUGAUGCAUUACUGUAAUUUCUCGUGUAAUAUCAACAACACAAUAGAAGAUAUAAUGAAGUUCAGUUUA